AAACUGCUAAUUUUAUUAUGC
rnacentral:siRNA from 1 species